rnacentral:rRNA from 1 species
CUCUUCUAGAGAUCUUAGAAGUACUGCCUGCUCAAUGCUUUUGUAAAUAGCCGCAGUAUUCUGACUGUGCUAAGGUAGCAUAAUCAUUAGUCUUUUAAUUGGAGGCUGGUAUGAAUGGCAAGACGAGAAAAUAGCUGUCUCAAUAAAAAUUAUCGAAUUUCAUUUUUAGGUGAAAAAGCCUAAAUGAACUUAAAGGACGAUCAGACCCUUUGGAGCUUUAUUUAAUUUUAAAAUUGCGAUUAGUAAAAUUUAAUUUUAAAAUUAAAUUUUGUUGGGGCGGCACAGAGCAAUAAAUAACACUCUUUUUUAUUAACAAUUAUAAUUGAAACAUUGAUCCUCUAAGUGAGAUUGGAAGACUAAGUUACCCUAGGGAUAACAGCGUAAUCUUUUUAGAGAGUUCUUAUCGAUAAAAAGGUUUGCGACCUCGAUGUUGGAUUAAGAUAUUGGCAAGGUGCAGAAGUUUUGCUAAAAAGUCUGUUCGACUUUUAAUUUCUUACA